rnacentral:rRNA from 1 species
GCAAGUCGAACGGUGAACCACUUCGGUGGGGAUCAGUGGCGAACGGGUGAGUAACACGUGAGCAACCUGCCCCUGGCUCUGGGAUAACUCCGGGAAACCGGGGCUAAUACCGGAUAUGACACCCUUCUGCAUGGUGGGGUGUGGAAAGAUUCAUCGGCUGGGGAUGGGCUCGCGGCCUAUCAGCUUGUUGGUGGGGUAAUGGCCUACCAAGGCGACGACGGGUAGCCGGCCUGAGAGGGCGACCGGCCACACUGGGACUGAGACACGGCCCAGACUCCUACGGGAGGCAGCAGUGGGGAAUAUUGCGCAAUGGGCGAAAGCCUGACGCAGCAACGCCGCGUGAGGGAUGAAGGCCUUCGGGUUGUAAACCUCUUUCAGCAGGGAAGAAGCAAAAGUGACGGUACCUGCAGAAGAAGCACCGGCUAACUACGUGCCAGCAGCCGCGGUAAUACGUAGGGUGCAAGCGUUGUCCGGAAUUACUGGGCGUAAAGCGCACGCAGGCGGCGCAUUAAGUCUGACGUGAAAUCUCCCGGCUUAACUGGGAGGGGUCGUUGGAGACUGAUGUGCUCGAGGCGGUGAGAGGGGUGUAGAAUUCCCGGUGUAGUGGUGGAAUGCGUAGAUAUCGGGAGGAAUACCAGUGGCGAAAGCGGCACCCUGGCACUAGCCUGACGCUCAUGUGCGAAGGCGUGGGGAGCGAACGGGAUUAGAUACCCCGAUAGUCCACGCUGUAAACGUUGGGCGCUAGGUGUGGGGCUCAUUCCACGAGUUCCGUGCCGCAGCUAACGCAUUAAGCGCCCCGCCUGGGGAGUACGGCCGCAAGGCU